rnacentral:rRNA from 1 species
CGAACGGGUGAGUAACACGUGAAGAACCUGCCCUUCAGUGGGGGACGAACAGUUGGAAACGACUGCUAAUACCGCAUAAGACCACAGUACCGCAUGGUACAGUGAUCAAAGGAUUUAUUCGCUGAGGGAUGGCUUCGCGUCCGAUUAGGUAGUUGGUGAGGUAACGGCCCACCAAGCCUACGAUCGGUAGCCGGACUGAGAGGUUGAUCGGCCACAUUGGGACUGAGACACGGCCCAGACUCCUACGGGAGGCAGCAUG